rnacentral:rRNA from 1 species
CAGUAGCCGCGGUAAUACGUAGGUGGCAAGCGUUGUCCGGAAUUAUUGGGCGUAAAGGGCUCGCAGGCGGUUUCUUAAGUCUGAUGUGAAAGCCCCCGGCUCAACCGGGGAGGGUCAUUGGAAACUGGGAAACUUGAGUGCAGAAGAGGAGAGUGGAAUUCCACGUGUAGCGGUGAAAUGCGUAGAGAUGUGGAGGAACACCAGUGGCGAAGGCGACUCUCUAGUCUGUAACUGACGCUGAGGAGCGAAAGCGUGGGGAGCGAACAGGAUUAGAUACCCCCGUAGUCCCUGUCUCUUAUAA